rnacentral:rRNA from 1 species
UCGAAACCUGCCGAACAGCAGAACGACCCGCGAACACGUUAUCCAAACUCCUCUAAGUCGCCCCCCGGGGUCUCCCCGUCGGCGGCGCCUAAUGCGAACCCCGGCGCGAUCCGCGCCAAGGAAUACAUAAACUCGAGGGCUCUCCGGCCCGGUUUCGAUCGGCCCCGGUGCGGCCUCUUUGUGAGAAACAC